ACACACACAGACAUACACACACACAGACACACACACACGCAAACACACACAGGCACACACCCACACAGACACACACAGGCACACACACACCCACACGCAGUGUUGACGUCAGUAGGUGGGUCCCAACCCAUCAGGAGUAGACGUUGAGGUGUCGCCCCAACGUCUCUGACACUCGGCCACAAACUACACAAACUACCACCGCUCGCACGGGCAGCAGGAGGCAGCACGCAGAGCAGAGCCCGCGACCGACCAACAGCAGACUGACGGGGCAGCGGCGAGGCAGAGGUGGGCAAGUUCUCGACCGGUUUCGUCCGCGCUGGGGCUCAUCAGUGGACGUGGAGUCUUCCCUUCUUGCAAUGCCCCCUCCGGUGGCAAUCUGAGGCUAAAGAGCCUUCGCCUGGAGGGACCGGCCCAAGUGAAUGAU